rnacentral:tRNA from 1 species
ACCCAGGUGGCUCAGUGGUUGGGCAUCGACCUGUGAACCAGAAGGUCAGGGUUCAAUUCCCAGUCAGGGCA